rnacentral:sRNA from 1 species
CGAACUGAAGCUGUCGGUGCAGUCCAGCACGACGUCGUAUUUCGAUAUCACCUCUCUCGCAUUCUCUGCAGAAAGGUGGAAGGGAUACACAUCAACCUCCA